AGCCUGCGCCGGAGGCGGGGACUGAGCCCAGGCCGCGCGGGCCGCGAACUCGUGGAGCUGCGCUUGCGGCCGGUGCUCAGCCUGCCAGGCCCGGGCCCCGCGCUCCCGCGUGCCUUGGA
ensembl:miRNA